GCCUGGGUGGCUCAGUCGGUUAAGUGUCCGACUUCGACUUCGGUCACGAUCUCACAGUUCGUGGGUUUGAGCCCCACCUCAGGCU
rnacentral:tRNA from 1 species